GACCGGCGCACGGGUGAGUAACGCGUAUCCAACCUUCCGCAUACUCGGGAAUAGCCUUUCGAAAGAAAGAUUAAUGCCCGAUGGUAUCCUAAAUGCACAUGCGAGUAGGAUUAAAGAUUCAUCGGUAUGCGAUGGGGAUGCGUUCCAUUAGAUAGUUGGCGGGGUAACGGCCCACCAAGUCGACGAUGGAUAGGGGUUCUGAGAGGAAGGUCCCCCACAUUGGAACUGAGACACGGUCCAAACUCC
rnacentral:rRNA from 1 species